ACUGACAGCAUAUUUGCCAAUAUAUGCACAUUAUAGUCACUAUAUACACCGCCCACUGAAGCUAAGCAGGGCUGAGCCUGGUUAGUACCUGGAUGGGAGACCACAUGGGAAUGCUAGGUUGCUGCUGGAA
ensembl:rRNA 5S_rRNA 5S ribosomal RNA